GUCUAUCAUCAGAAAAAAAUAAUUAAAAAACACAACAUCAUGGCAUCUGGAACAGUUCCCCACCACUGUUCAUCACGUCUUUCCUUUCUUCCGCACAUCGUUCCUCGCAAUUCCUCUAAUUUUUGCCCACGCGUUCAUCGCUCUGCACACCUCCUCUUCAAUCAUCCUGUCCACGCGUCGAUCAUCGUCGAAGGGCUCUGCUUCGACUCCUUCUCGACUUUUCCUCUGACUCUCCUUCACUUUGCGGUCUUCUCUCAUCUCUCACUCUUUCGCAUGCUUUCUUUCUCUACCCAAGAAGCCUUCCAUCCAUUUCGAUCUCUCCCACAAACCCUUAUGUUGCUAAAGCUUGCCUUCCCUCGCUCUCCGAUCUCGAUUUCUCUCUCACUUUCCUGCUGAAAAAGACCAACCCAGUAGAAAUUUCUCCAGUUCUCUCUCUCUCAAAAACUACAAAUCACAGCGGCCAAACUCCAAAAAAAAAAAAUAAAUAAAUGGAAUUCGAAAAGCCAUUUGCUUUUCCUUGGAUUUGGGUUUUCCUUCGAUUUCUACACUGUCCAAAACUCGCGUCGUGGAUCAAGCUAGGGUUUUCUCUGAGCCGCGAUUGUUGCUCUGUCCUCCGCCGUCUGUCACUGUAAGUCCUUUUUUUUUCCCAGAAUUUUCAAUGCAUCGUUUUCUCUUCGUGUCUAACUUUUGUGUGUCUCUGUUAUAAAAUGUUGACGCCGAAUCUUUGUUGCUGAAAAAUUGCGGCUGCAAGUUUUUUCAGAUUUUCCAAUUUCGUUGCCAAAAAAAAAAAAAAAAAAACUCCGACGACCAGCGUUUUGUGAGCAAGGAGAAUGACCCCAGUUAGCUCCAACCUUACGGUAAACGAGAGCUACUCUACUGUUUACGCAGCAGGGAAAGGGAAGGGAAGUAAAAAUUAUAAGGAAAUGCAUAUAAGUUACAAGCUUUUAAUUAAAAAUAGAAAUGGAGUGACAACAAACAAAAUAUAGGGAUUAAGUUCAUUUAAGUAUGGGUUGUUUUGUAUUUGAAAUCUGAAAGGAGAAACAGAAAUUACAAGAAGAAGAGGAAGAUUGCGUUCCGAUCAUGGCCUUCUCUUCCUGCCAUUUAUCCAAAUCCUGACAAGGAUCUUAUUGAAAAGCAAGGAAGAAGAAUUGAAUUAGAUUAUUGCGGGGCUCAGGAAAAACUAUGCUUCUUUACAAGAGAAAUUUACGAAAUAAGAGUUGGAUAAGAUGGUAAGUAGAUGGGUUUGAUAUUCAAUGUGGCUGGCUCCAUGUGCAAUUGUUCUUGCUAUUUAGGCAAUUUCCUGGAACAUUGAGUAGAAAAACAAAUUAGAAUUUUGUUGGUUUUUUCUUUUAUGAAGUGUAAGCGUUAAUGCAUUUCAUCCUAAUAUGCAACUUAUAUUAGUAUCGCAUUUUGAAAGGUUAGCAUCUCAAGUGAACCAAAUUUACCAUUUUCCAUUUAAAUGAAUUUUAAGAUAACCUCCGGUCCAUGUUUGUUUAACAAUUUUUUAUAAUUCAUUAUAUAGUUUUCAAAAAGGUCGUGCAUAAUUCUUGCUGAACUUGGUUUGGGUUUCUUUUGUUUACGGAUGGAGUGAGUUAAUCACAGUUCUAUCCGGUUAGUCAUGUUCCCAUUGUUGCAUGACUUUUUGAACAGAAAACAAGGUUUAUUAUUUCAAUUUCCACAUCUACUUUUGAUUUGGUAGAUGUUGAUUAA